rnacentral:lncRNA from 1 species
AGAGAUGAGUCCCUCAUUAUCUGGGUCCAGGACGAAUUACGAUCUUACUGCAACCAAGAAAUGGUGGCUCGAAACAUGUUAUUUUAAAAAAAUAGUACCUUGUAAUGAAGGCGCCUCACAUGUUAGAAAUGACUUCUCUUUACCAAAUCAAGGGGGUCCCUUCCUCACAUGGAAUCGUCGAAGCCUUCUUCGAUUCCAUGGAGUCUUGAAGAAUUUGGUUUUGGUGCUU